CAGGGCUUGCUCUCGCAUGGCUACAGUCUCAGCAACCACACAGAGUAGUUCCCAACAACGGUCUAAGGCCAUUAGUGAGCUGCAGUCCGGGAAUGACAAGGGCAUGGGGGGAAGGCACCUGACACCAGGAGAGGGGCAAGAGAGGAGAAUUCCAGCCCUGGGACAUGGGGACGUUUCUACAUUGCUCUGAGGAGGAACCACCUGCAGACACAUCCUUCUUCCUAUUGAUUCCACAGCCUUGGAAGCUUGGCCCUGGACCCCUGCUCACUCCUGCAAAGCCCUGUUAAGACCUAGAACUCAAUGCCCACCUAAGUCUGGGAUUUGGAAACCUUAGUCAGAGUGUUCACCAUGCCACCAACAUUCCCCUAUGUCCUGGGCCUGGACAGACCUCUGCACAAGUGAAGAAGUUGGUUCAACAGCUCUUACCUGGGAACUGAGUCCAGAGGCCAUUAUCCCUCUUCAACAUUAAGGGAAGGAACCUGCCAAGAUGCUCAUGAGGGAGGAGCCUGAGUGAUCUCCUGAUUCUGGGCCCUUUUGACCAAGGCUCCAUAGGUAGUAUUGACUCUGUCUGAGAGCUUGUGUUGCUGAGAAACAGCUGACAGGUCUGGAGCCUGAGGGAAAGGGGAGGCUCCAUGUGGGAGGGGUGGACAGAGGCUGGGGACCUGAGAGCACCAGAGAUGAGUCCACUUCAUGCUUCCAGCUCUCUAGCACACCCUGCUGUCUCCUCUGAUCCUAAGCUCUGGUGCAUGUGUGUGGUACAGUGUGGUGUUGUUACCCAACCCGUGGGGUGGGUCCUUCUGCUCACUCCCUUUGAGGCAGAACUCCAAACAGAGUUUGGUGGCAUAGAAAGGAAUCUUCUAUUUAACAAUUAAGAAAAGGCUAUUUAAAUAUUUGUCAUGGCAACUAGUACAUAAAU